GGGAGGGUUCUCGGUGAAGCCUGGAUCCCCCCCUCCGCCGCUCCCCCGCCCCCCGCCCCGCAAACCGCAAACAGGCACAGACGGGUAGUAUCCAGGGACAGGUGGGCAGAGCUGGGGCCAGUGCCUGGCGUCUGUCAGGGGUGUCCGCCAGGGCCCAUGCUUCCGGAGGCGGGGACAGCGGGAAGUCACAAAGUGUUCCCCGUGUCGCUUGACAGGUGUGGCCUGCUGGGCGGGAAUCCUGCCCCAGCACGCCGGUUCUCCCGGACAACCUGGGGUUGCAGCAGCCAUCAGUGCCUGCCUGCCUGCCCGCCUGCCUCUCACCCGGAGAGGUCAAGGUGAGCCCGCAGAGAAAGCUCCGGUGUCUCUAGAAGCGGGCGAGCUGCGGAGCGCCCCCUCCCAGCGGUUGUCACGCUGGAAGGCUUUUCCGAAGGGCUUCUGGGGUUUCUCCGGGGCUUGUUGGCCUGCCACUGACUUAGCGGGGCGCCGCCUCCUUCGAAAGUCACCGAGCGUUCGUUACCCGUUGCUGCAUCACACGUCUACCCCCAGGAGCCGCGCAGCGCGGCCGGCGCUCGAGGUCUCGCAGGUGUCUGAGGGCCAGGGUCCUGGAGGGCUUGGCUGGGGCUCCUGGCUGGAGGUGUGUCACAGGCUGCCGUCGAGGCAUCAGCCGGGGCCAGUCUGGUCGGCCUGGGGCAGGGGCUUGGGGGAGGCGAGGCUCUGCUUCCAGGAUCUCUGGCGGGGCUGUGGCGGGGCCGGGGCCUCCCCACCGGGCCGCUGGGGGCCGGGCUCCCCCAGAGCCAGCGAUCUGGGCGAGACAGAGCCGCCCCCGGGGCCAAGGCACGGUGCCGGUCUGAUGACUUCACCUCCAAGUGACCCUCCCUCCCCUCGGCUGGAUCUUGAUGGGUCACACAGGCCCAAGCCGGGAGCAGUGCAGGAGGGCCCGGCCAAUGAGAAGGCUCCAGGGAGCAUCCUUGCUCCUGAACCUGGCGCGGGAGGGGCUCCUGGUCCGCGCAGGCCCCUCGGGAGCGGGACCCUGUCCUCCGUCUGCGUGGGGGUGGCAGGUUCCAGCCCCCGGGACCAAGACAGGCAGGGCGUGUCACCCUUAGAUGGUCGCGGACAGGACACACGAAAAGCCAGAGAAAGAACAUGUGACCGAGCCCCUGCCUGGCCCCCACGGCCCGAGGUGUGUGCCCCCUGCCCUCUGCCCUUGCGGAGGAGCUGGCAGCCCUGGUGGCACAUGGACGAUCCCGGGGCUGGUUGGCACCUGGAGCCGCAGCUGCAGGCCUACGCCACAGCCGCAGCCAGGCCGGGUCCUUAACCCACUGAGC
rnacentral:lncRNA from 1 species